UUCAUAUCUCACCUGAGUCACAUCUGGUGUCCCCAGCACCACUCAGACCACCUGCUGGGCUGUUGUGGCCGUCAGAGUGGAGCAGAGCUGGGUUGGGUUCCAGUUCUGUUGCUCAUCUGCUAUGGGAUUUUUCAGCCAGUCCUCACCCUUCUCUAAGCCUCAGUUUCCACACCUGGGAAGUGGAGGGCCCCUGGCAGGUAAGGUUACAGAGAGGCCAGUUCUCCCACUCCGCCUGCCUUGGAACUACUGUCAGUCACUCUGGAGGUCCCUGCCUCCACCAGAGAAGCCUGCAGAGUUGAAGGGGGUUGAACUAUCCUUGCUGCAGAAGCCUCCUGAAUUCUGCAGGAAGGGAAAUGGCUGAGGGCAGGCUAUUGGGUGCUCCCACAGCAAACUCCACAAAGGUACUGAGUACUUUAGGAUCUGAAGGAAGAGGGAAUAUUUGUUUCCUUCACAGCCACAAAAGGACCUUUCCAAAAAUAGCCACCUCUUAGGUCCAAGCAGAAAUAUCUGAGCCACGCUUGGAGGGUUAGUAUUUUUUUUUUGGCAUUAUGAUGAUUCAACUUUUCAGAAAGAAAAUCAAAUGGAAAGUGCAUGUCAUACCUAGCAAGCCUUGUGAACAAGAUUGGGCAAAUUGCUUCCAAAUUCUUAACAUUCAUAACCUUUGGUCUGGAGAUACCAGUUCUAGAAUUUGUUGUAAGGAAAUAGUCAAGUAUAUGAAGAUAUCUGUAUGUAUGAGAAUGCUCUUCCUAGCCGAAGUAGCAAAAAUGGGAUAAACAUGGAUGUCUAACAGUAGAGGAAUGCUCAAAUAAUUACAAGGCAGCCAUAUGGUGAGAAGCACCAGGCAAUCAUUACCAAAAAGCAGAAGGGCUGCUGCCUGGGGAGGGGGUGGCAGGAGGGAAACACCCCAAUGGGGUACGAGGAACUUUUGGGGGCGAUGGAUGUGUUCACUAUGUUGGUUGUGGUCAUGGUUUCCCAGGUAUAUACAGAU
rnacentral:lncRNA from 1 species